rnacentral:rRNA from 1 species
UACGGAGGGUGCAAGCGUUAUCCGGAUUCACUGGGUUUAAAGGGUGCGUAGGUGGGCAGGUAAGUCAGGGGUGAAAUCUCCGGGCUUAACCCGGAAACUGCCAUUGAUACUAUCUGUCUUGAAUACCGUGGAGGUGAGCGGAAUAUGUCAUGUAGCGGUGAAAUGCUUAGAUAUGACAUAGAACACCAAUUGCGAAGGCAGCUCACUACGCGAAUAUUGACACUGAGGCACGAAAGCGUGGGGAUCAAACAGG